rnacentral:piRNA from 1 species
UUGAAGACAAGUAGAAAUGAUGAAGCCUA